rnacentral:rRNA from 1 species
ACGCUGCGGCGUGCUUAACACAUGCAAGUCGAACGUGAUUUUUAUGGAAAGCCCUUCGGGGAAGGAAAUGAAAUGAAAGUGGCGAACGGGUGAGUAACACGUGAGCAACCUACCUUACACAGGGGGAUAGCCGUUGGAAACGACGAUUAAUACCGCAUGAGACCACAGAAUCGCAUGAUAUAGGGGUCAAAGAUUUAUCGGUGUAAGAAGGGCUCGCGUCUGAUUAGCUAGUUGGAAGGGUAAAGGCCUACCAAGGCGACGAUCAGUAGCCGGUCUGAGAGGAUGAACGGCCACAUUGGAACUGAGACACGGUCCAAACUCCUACGGGGGGCAGCAGUGGGGAAUAUUGCACAAUGGGGGGAACCCUGAUGCAGCGACGCCGCGUGAGCGAAGAAGGUUUUCGAAUCGUAAAGCUCUGUCCUAUGAGAAGAUAAUGACGGUAUCAUAGGAGGAAGCCCCGGCUUAAUACGUGCCAGCAGCCGCGGU